ACCCUUCACACCCUUUAGCCAUCAGAUUUAAACCCUGGUUUGAGUGGCCAUCAAGGGAGGAAACGCAGAGUGAAAAUGACUUGGGUUCUCUCGUGACAUACGAGUGAGUUCCAACCCAAAAAGA
rnacentral:snoRNA from 1 species